AUUCCCCCCUAAAACAAUUUAAAAAUCGUGAAAACGUAGGGGUAUGAACUCACCUCGUGUGCGUGGUUUUGCUUGGGUACAACGUGGUCGCGAUGAUCCUCGGGUUAGAACUGUAACAACGCAAAUUUUCAAAUAAAUUUUUCAUUUUAAAAAUAAAGUAUUUCUAUUCAAAACAAGGCAUAAAUAAUUUAAGUAUCAUGUCAAAUACAAAUUGUCUAAAUCCCAAGAUCAUAAAAACAUCCUUCAGUGUGUAUCGAUCACGCCGGCGCCUUCCCACGGUCCUCGCUAGUACCUGAGACACAUACAUAACAACUAUAAGCAUAAAUGCUUAGUGAGUUCCCCAAUAUACACUUACGCACAUACGCCUUUCCAGGCCCUGACCUUCCGGUCCUCUACACAAUGCCUUCCGGCCCAUAACAUAAUCGCCUUCCGGCUCAUAACAUAUUGCCUUCCGGCCCACAUAACAUACAUAGCACAUAUAACAAAUAACUUACCACAUAUAGCAUACAUAUCACAUAUCAUAUCUGACCUUCCGGUCACAUAGUCAAACCCUUCCGGGUACAGUAUAGUGAGAAGACUCACCUCGUAAAUGCUGAAAGCUAGCAAAUCCUGAAAUCACUCGUGCACAAUCCGACGAGCUACAACCUCCCUAUAACAUCACAUAUCUCUCAUUAACACUUAUAUCUUCUAAGUGUGACUAUCCCUAAGAAGUCAGACUUAGGUCAACUCUGGUCAACGGUCAAUGGUCAACGGUCAACGCGACCGGACUCGGCGAGUGCCAUGGCGACUCGGCGAGUCUAGACGUCCUCCAACUCUCUGAGAUUCCCUAUCUACUCGUCGAGUAUCCUCCUUGACCCGACGAGUUACUCCUGGAAGAAUCGCGGGGCCACCCCGACUCAACUCGCCGAGUCUGAAGAACAACUCGACGAGUCCCAGUUAAUCUUCAAGCUACUCGCCGAGUCUGUUCAUCGAACUCGGCGAGUCCAUGCCAUGCAACCGCUCAAACUGCAUCCUAAGGUCAGAACUGCUUCGACCAUUCCUAGGUCUGGCCUUCCUAGGCUGAUCCAUCACGUAAAGUCCUCAUUUCAGUGCUCAUGAUACACCAUAUGAUUCAUAAUUUACAUUUUGACCUAAGGCAUAAGGAUUCCAAUCCAAAACCUUCAUCAAUUCCCGAAAUGCACAGACAUGGGACAUUCUGGACCUCCCAAAGGUCUCAAUACAAGGUUACACUCGUUUAGAGGACUAUGGUAACAUUUAAUCUAAUCACAAAAGGGUUCCAUAAACCCUAAAUCCAUAAAUACAUCAAUAUAGCAGAGUAUACUCGAAUUCUUACCUGGAUGAUGUAUUCUCUGUGUCCCCAAUCCUCAGAAUGUGACUCCCUUGCUGUUCCUUUAGCCAAUCCCUUCUCUUCCUUGCACAACAACUCUUCUAUAAUCAACAAUGGCCUAUAAUCCUUGCUCCAGAUGCACACAAUCGAUUUAGGGUUCUUCUCAGAAGGCUAAAAUGAACAAUGACGGCCAAUAAGUCCCUUUUAUACGUCCCAAACCUGAACGGUUAGGGUUUUCGCUAAACAGCGUAGACUCGCCGAGUCCAUAUCUGGACUCGUCGAGUCCAGUCGCGAACCCGCGACCAAGUCUGCGAUCCUACUCGGCGAGUCUAGGCUCCAACUCGCCGAGUCCCCUCUUAAAUCACCCCAAAAACAUAAUUUAACAAUACCUGAGAUUCCGGGCUGUUACAACUCUCCCCCACUAGGAUUAGACUUCGCCCUCGAAGUCUCACUCUGAAAAUAGUUCCGGAUGCUGCUCCCGCAUCUCACGUUCCGGCUCCCAAGUCAUUUCCGAUCCCUUACGGUGUUGCCACUGAACCAACACCAGAGGUACCUCCUUGUUCCUCAGAACCUUGAUCUUCCGAUCCCUGAUGGCCACUGGUCUCUCAGCAUAAUUCAGGCUCGCAUCCACCUGAAUAUCCUCCAAUGGAACCACUGCCGACUCAUCGGCUAUGCACUUCCUCAAUUGCGACACAUGAAAAGUGUCGUGGAUCUGUCCCAACUCCGCUGGCAACUCCAACCGAUAGGCUACCCGGCCUAUCCUUGCAAUCACACGAAAUGGCCCAAUAUACCGGGGCCCCAACUUGCCCCUCUUCCUGAAUCGAAUCACUCCUUUCCAAGGAGAGACCUUCAGGAGAACGAAGUCGCCGACUUGAAACUCAAGCUCGAAUCGGCGCCUGUCUGCAUAACUCUUCUGUCGGCUCUGGGCGGUCAACAACCUCUGUCUAACUUGCUGAAUCUGCUCUGUCGUCUGAAGCACGAUCUCUGUGCUGCCCAUCUUUCUCUGUCCCACCUCUCCCCAGCAAAUCGGGGUCCGACAUCUCCUACCAUACAACAGCUCAAAAUGUGGCAUACCAAUACUCGAAUGAUGGCUGUUGUUGUAGGAAAACUCUGCUAAGGGUAAAUAUGCAUCCCAGCUACCCCCGAAGUCCAACACACACGCUCGAAGCAUGUCCUCCAGCGUCUGAAUCGUCCGCUCGCUCUGACCGUCUGUCUGGGGAUGGUAUGCGGUACUAAAAUGCAAUUUAGUACCCAGCUCCUCAUGGAAUUUCUUCCAGAACCUGGAAGUGAAGCGCACAUCACGGUCUGAAACAAUCGAGAUCGGCACCCCAUGCCGAGAUACCACUUCUCUCACAUAUAUCUCCGCCAACUUCUCCGCUGAAGAACUCUCGCUGAUGGCAAGGAAGUGUGCACUCUUCGUCAACCUAUCCACAAUCACCCAAAUUGCAUCAACUCCCCUGGCAGUCCUCGGCAAUUUGGUGAUGAAAUCCAUAGUGAUUUGUUCCCACUUCCACUCGGGGAUCUCCAAUGGCUGUAACUUGCCAUGCGGUCUCUGGUGCUCGGCCUUAACCCUACGGCAGGUCAAGCACCUCUCAACGAACCAUGCAACGUCCCUCUUCAUACAGGGCCACCAAUACUCUUUCCUCAAAUCCAAAUACAUCUUCGUAGCACCGGGAUGGAUCGAGAAUUUCGAUCUAUGAGCCUCUUCCAUCAAAGUAAUACGCGUACCGCCCACGAACGGUACCCAAAUCCGACCCUGAAACGUCAUAAGCCCUCGUCCAUCCUUAACGAACUCUGAAAUUAACCCCACAACCCGCUCUUUCUUCUGCAUUUCUGGUCGCACAGCCUCGGCCUGUGCCCCACGAAUAGCAUCCAAUACUGGAGUCAUCACAGUCAGUCUCAAGCAUACAUCUCGCAAUGGAGUGCUCUCCGCCCUGCGGCUCAACGCGUCGGCUACCACAUUAGCCUUACCUGGGUGGUACAGGAUCUCACAAUCAUAAUCCUUGACCACAUCCAACCACCUCCUCUGACGCAUAUUUAGGUUGGGCUGAUCCAUCAAAUACUUCAAGCUCUUAUGGUCCGUGUAUAUCGUACAUCGAACCCCAUACAGGUAGUGACGCCAAAUCUUGAGAGCGAACACUACUGCCCCCAACUCUAAAUCAUGCGUGGGAUAUCUCGCCUCAUGAGGCUUCAGCUGCCUCGACGCAUAAGCUAUCACAUGACCCCUCUGCAUCAACACUGCACCCAGUCCCGAAAUCGAUGCGUCGCAAUAUACUACAAAAUCUUCCAUCCCUUCCGGGAGAGCUAAUACCGGGGCUUCGCACAACCUCUGGCGAAGUGUCUCAAAGGAGGUCUGCUGCUCGGGCCCCCAUGAGAAUGCAACACCCUUCCGGGUCAAUCUGGUGAGCGGCACUGCGAUCUUGGAGAAAUCCUUAAUGAAUCUCCGAUAAUACCCUGCCAACCCAAGGAAGCUCCUGAUCUCAGAGGGUGACUUCGGCACCUCCCAACUCAUCACCGCCUCAACCUUGGCCGGAUCGACCAAUAUCCCUUUCUGAUUAACAACAUGUCCUAGAAAUUGGACCUCCCGCAACCAGAAGUCACAUUUGGAGAACUUUGCAUAAAGCUUCUCCGACCUCAAUACCUCAAGGACCUCCCUCAAAUGCUCCUCAUGCUGCUCUCUAGAUCUCGAAUACACCAGAAUGUCGUCGAUAAAUACAAUCACUGACCGAUCCAACAUCGGCCUGCAUACCCUGUUCAUGAGAUCCAUGAACACAGCCGGGGCAUUGGUGAGCCCGAAAGGCAUCACCACAAACUCAUAAUGCCCAUAUCGCGUCCUAAACGCUGUCUUCUGGACGUCCUCAUCCCGCACUCUCACCUGAUGGUACCCUGACCUCAGAUCGAUCUUGGAAAACCAAGAUGCUCCCUGCAACUGAUCGAAUAAAUCAUCGAUCCUCGGUAACGGGUAACGGUUCUUGACCGUCAACUUGUUCAACUCCCGGUAAUCAAUGCACAUCCGGUGUGAACCAUCCUUCUUCUUGACGAACAGAAUAGGUGCUCCCCACGGCGAGCUGCUCGGCCGAAUGAAUCCCUUCCCCAGCAACUCCUGGAGCUGCGAGGACAACUCUUGCAUCUCUGGAGGUGCAAGACGAUAAGGCACCUUAGCAAUAGGCGCGGCCCCCGGAACCAGAUCGAUACCAAACUCUACUUGCCUCACAGGAGGUACUCCCGGCAGCUCCUCGGGGAAAACAUCUGGAAACUCACGCACCACUGGGACCUCCUCAACUGACCUCGGUCUCUCGGAAACCUCCCGCGUAUCCAUCACAUACGCCACAAAACCCUUACAGCCCUGCUGUAGACACUGCCUCGCCCUAGCGGCCGAACAAAAAGCUGAUCCCGAACGGGUACCCUCGCCGUACACCGAAAGAACUCCCCCACUAUGGUCUCGUAUAGUCACCAGCUGACGCUCACAGUCGAUGACAGCGCCGAAUCGGCUCAACCAGUCCAUGCCCACGAUGACACAGACAUCACCCAUCGCAAUAGGAAUCAGGUCAAUCGGGAAUUCAACCCCGAAAAUCUCUAGUACACAUCCCCGAAGAACCUCCGUGGCACAAAUCACUUUCUCGUCAGCUAUAGAAACUCUCAAAGGUCGACUCAACGACUCACGACUAACGCUGAUAUGCUGACUAAAGGCUAAGGACACAAAGGACCUACUCGCACCCGAGUCAAAUAACACUAAGGCAGGCACAGAGUUCACAAGGAAAGUACCUACGCAUAUAAUAACAUAAGCAUAACAUCUCGACAUUAAAAAAAAUACAUGAAUUACAACAUACCUGCCACGACAUCGGGCGCAGCGCGGACCUCCUCCGCAGUCAGCUGAAAGGCUCUCCCACGAGCCCUCGGGGCCUCGACCUUCACCGGUCGAGUCUCAGUAGUCCUGGCAGUAGGUGCAGAUCCCUGACGAAGCUGAGGGCACUCGGCCUUCCGAUGGCCGGUCUGGUUGCAAUGAAAGCAAACCAUAAACCCCUUGGGGCACUCCCUAGCAAUGUGCCCCUCCUUGCCGCACUUGUAGCAAGCACCGGCUCGACACGCCCCAUCGUGACCCUUGCCGCACUUUCCGCAAGUGCGGCUCUUCGGACCUCCCGUCCUCGAAUCGGCGGACUUGAUCCGCUUGGCUGCCGGCUGAGACUGAGCCGGCCGCCGGUCUGCCUGCUGAGACUCGGCCUCCUCCCUGGCCUGAGUCUCUAACUCGAUCUCACGCUUCCUGGCAUUCGCCUGAAGCUCAGUAAAAGUAUGGUAAGUGGAGUUUGACACAAACUCCCGGAUCUCCCUCCUCAGAACACCCAAGUACCGGCUCAUCCGAGCCUGCUCUGUGGCCACCAGCUCGGGGCAAAACAUCGCCCUCUCAUGAAACUUCCGCGUGAUCGCCGCCACCGAAUCAGUACCCUGCUUGAGGGUUAAGAACUCCUGAACCAAUCGUUCCCGCUCCACCGGGGGAACGUACUCAUCCCUGAACAUGGUAGUGAACCCCUCCCAUGUCACUGCCGCAGUCUCUGCCAAAGUGAAGUUCGCCGUCACGAACUUCCACCAGUCCUUUGCUCCCAGACGGAGCUGGUUCAAAGCGAACCGUACCCUCAGGUGCUCCGGGCAUGAACAAGUGUAGAAGCACCCCUCUAUAUCUGCGAUCCACCUCAUCGCAGCAAUCGGAUCCUGCGUCCCAUCGAACUCUGGUGGCUUCGUGUUGCUGAACUCUCGGAACAGCAAUGAAUCACCCCCCUGUGGCCUAGCAGCGGCCACAGCUGCGGUAGCUGCAGCGGUUGCAGCCUCAGUCAAUGCGGCGUACCGCUCGUCGAACGUCUCCAUCAGGGUGGUCUUGAUAGACCCAAACAUCUCCGGGAUCUCAGCCCGGAUCGCCGCCGCCACCUCCUCGUGGAUCAUCUGACGAAUAUCCUCGUCACUCACACCGCUCGUACUUGCUCCGUGACGCGGUCUAACCAUGAUAUCUCUGAAAUACAACAUAAAACUAUCAGAGAUUCUACCGAGUAUAAUCGUACUCGAUACGCAACCCUACUCAGUCCCAGAUAUCCAGGGAUUCUUACUUGGGCCUCCCACUGACCCGGUGUCCUCGGUAGUACGGGCCCAAUACUACCGACCACACCGCAUCAAUGUUCAUCCCAAGUCCUCCUCCCCAAACUCCGGAUAGUGAGUACUCUACUUCUGAUACGCUCUAUCUACCCGCAUACUAGCAAAGCAUCUCAUAUAGGCAACUUCCCUAGACUAAGGCAUCACAAAUCAGGCCACUCUAGUCCUAUCAUGAAUACCUAGUCUUCUAGCAUGCAUAACAAUUCAUAUCAUAUAAUAUUGUAAGGUAUUUUGGGGAUCUUUACCGUUCGGGCGCUGACUGAUCGUACACACUGCUUCUUUCUUGCUUACCACAAAACCAUUUACAAAAGUUUAUGCCUUUAUUUGAAAAGUUUCCUCAAAUCCUCGGUUUGAGUUCAGUUACCCCCGAAGGUGCACCCGAAUCCCUCAAACCAAGGCUCUGAUACCAAUUGUAACAACUCAAAUUUUUCAAACAAAUUUUUCAUUUUUAAAACAUAAUUAUUUCCAUUAAAAACAAGGCAUAAACAGUUCAAUUAUUCGGUCAAUACAAUUAUUCAAACUCCCAAGAUCAUAAAACAAUCUUCAGUGUGUAUCGAUCAUGCCGGCGCCUUCCCACGGUCCUCGCUAGUACCUGAAAUACAUGCACAACAACUGUAAGCAUAAAUGCUUAGUGAGUUCCCCAAUAUACACUUACGCACAUACGCCUUUCCAGGCCCUGACCUUCCGGUCCUCAUUACAACGCCUUCCGGCCCAUAACAUAAUCGCCUUCCGGCCCAUAACAUAUUGCCUUCCGGCCCACAUAUCAUACAUAGCACAUAUAACAAUUAACUUACCACAUAUAGCAUACAUAUCACAUAACAUAUCCGACCUUCCGGUCACACAGUCAAACCCUUCCGGGUACAGUAUAGUGAGA
rnacentral:lncRNA from 1 species